UACAUAGCUCAUGUCAGUUGGUAGAGCAUGAGAUUCUUAGUCUCCGGGUUGUGGGUUCAAGCCCCACAUUGAGCAAAA